rnacentral:rRNA from 1 species
UACGAAGGGUGCAAGCGUUAAUCGGAAUUACUGGGCGUAAAGGGUGCGUAGGCGGUUGUUUAAGUCUGUCGUGAAAUCCCCGGGCUCAACCUGGGAAUGGCGAUGGAUACUGGACAGCUAGAGUGUGUCAGAGGAUGGUGGAAUUCCCGGUGUAGCGGUGAAGUGCGUGGAGAUCGGGAGGAACAUCAGUGGCGAAGGCGGCCAUCUGGGACAACACUGACGCUGAAGCACGAAAGCGUGGGGAGCAAACAGG